CCUAACACAUGCAAGUGGAGCGACGGACCAUGCUUCGGCCUGGGGCCAAGCCGCGAACGGGUGAGUAACACGUGGGUAACCUGCCCCGAUGACCGGGACAACCCGAGGAAACUCGGGCUAAUACCGGAUGUGGCGCACACACAUCAGUGUGUUCGCUAAAGGAAGCUUCGGCCUCCGCAUUGGGAGGGGCCCGCGGCCCAUUAGCUUGUUGGUGAGGUAACGGCUCACCAAGGCGAUGAUCAAUAGGGGAACUGAGAGGUUGAUCCCCCACACUGGCACUGAGAUACGGGCCAGACUCCUACGGGAGGCAGCAGUAGGGAAUAUUGGACAAUGGUUGCAAGACUGAUCCAGCCAUGCCGCGUGCAGGAAGAAGGCUUUCUGAGUUGUAAACUGCUUUUGCCAGGGGAUAAAAAGUCCCUGCGGGGAAAAUUGAAGGUACCUGGUGAAUAAGCCACGGCUAACUACGUGCCAGCAGCCGCGGUAAUACGUAGGUGGCAAGCGUUGUCCGGAUUUAUUGGGUUUAAAGGGUGCGUAGGCGGUGUCCUAAGUCAGUUGUGAAAUACGGCAGCUUAACUGUCGAGGUGCAAUUGAUACUGGGACACUUGAGUACUGAUGAGGUAAGCGGAAUGGACGGUGUAGCGGUGAAAUGCUUAGAUAUCGUCCAGAACACCGAUAGCGAAGGCAGCUUACUAAGGAGUAACUGACGCUGAGGCACGAAAGUGUGGGGAUCAAACAGGAUUAGAUACCCUGGUAGUCCACACUGUAAACGAUGAUCACUCGAUGUUGGCGAUACACGGCCAGCGUCUUAGCAAAAGCGAUAAGUGAUCCACCUGGGGAGUACGCCGGCAACGGUGAAACUCAAAGGAAUUGACGGGGGUCCGCACAGGCGGUGGAGCAUGUGGUUUAAUUCGAUGAUACGCGAGGAACCUUACCUGGGCUAGAAUGCCCUUGACGGGUCCAGAGACGGAUCGUUCCGCAAGGACAAGGAGCAAGGUGCUGCAUGGCUGUCGUCAGCUCGUGCCGUGAGGUGUUGGGUUAAGUCCCGCAACGAGCGCAACCCUUAUCUUUAGUUGCCAGCACGUAAUGGUGGGGACUCUAGAGAGACUGCCUGCGCAAGCAGAGAGGAAGGAGGGGAUGACGUCAAGUCAUCAUGGCCCUUACGCCCAGGGCUACACACGUGCUACAAUGGCGUCUACAGAGUGUUGCAAGGCAGUGAUGCCGAGCCAAUCACAAAAAGGACGUCUCAGUUCGGAUUGCAGGCUGCAACUCGCCUGCAUGAAGUUGGAAUCGCUAGUAAU
rnacentral:rRNA from 1 species